UUUAGUUAAGUUCUUUAAACCCAAAGAAUUUGGCGGUAUUUCAUUCCAUUUAGAGGAACCUAUCUAAUAAUUGAUAAUACACGAUUAACUUUACUUAAUUUAUUUGUUUGUAUAUCUCCGUUAUCAGAAAAUCUUUAUGGAGGAAUAAUUUUCUUGUUUUUAAAAUAAAAUUUAUUUCAGGUCAAGGUGCAGCUUAUAAUUAGAUUUUGAUGGGUUACAAUAAAUUAUGAUUUAUUAUGGAUUUAAUUCUUGAAAUUUGUUUAAUGAAGGUGGAUUUAAUAGUAAUUUAAUUUAUUAAAUUUAAUUGAUAUUGGCUCUGAAGUGUGUACACAU
rnacentral:rRNA from 1 species